rnacentral:misc_RNA from 1 species
GCGACGCGCCGACUGGGGGUACUCGAAGCCCGUAGUGGCUUUGGACAUGCUGUGGAACACGGCGUUUGUGGUGGUUUCGAUAGUGAUGUUGAUUCUGACGGUGAACGAGAAUCCGAACACGCCGGUUAGGCUUUGGAUCUGUGGGUACGCGUUGCAGUGCUUGGUGCAUGUGGUUUUGGUGUGGUUGGAGUAUAGAAGAAGGAACACGAGGAGAGCGAGAGAUGAAGAGAGGCAGCAAGAAACUGAAGGAGGGAAUCUUGAUAGUGAAGAUGAGGAUGGGAGUGAUAGGGGUUCCCUGAGUUCCAGCCGAUCAAGCGUCGCUAAACGAUGUGAAUCAGUGAACACAUUGGCUUCAUUUCUAUGGUGGAUAGUAGGCUUUUAUUGGGUAGUUUCUGGUGGUGAUGUCCUUUUGCAACGUGCUCCACGUUUGUACUGGCUGGCUGUGGUUUUUCUGGCAUUUGAUGUGUUCUUUGCGAUCUUUUGUGUUGUUUUGGCAUGUUUGAUUGGGAUUGCUCUCUGUUGCUGCUUACCAUGUAUCAUAGCAAUUCUGUAUGCUGUUGCAGGGCAGGAAGGAGCGUCCGAAGCAGAUCUUAGUAUGCUCCCAAAAUACAGAUUUCAUGUGAUGGACAAUGAGGAAAAGCCCAUUUUUGGGUCAGGGAAAAUGAUUCCCAUUGAAUCCAGCAGUGGAUACUUGGCAAAUGAACGGAUACUUUUUCCUGAGGAUGCUGAAUGCUGUAUAUGUC